UACGGAGGGGACUAGCGUUGUUCGGAAUUACUGGGCGUAAAGCGCACGUAGGCGGAUUUGUAAGUCAGGGGUGAAAUCCCGGGGCUCAACCUCGGAACUGCCUUUGAUACUGCAAAUCUCGAGUCCGGAAGAGGUGGGUGGAAUUCCUAGUGUAGAGGUGAAAUUCGUAGAUAUUAGGAAGAACACCAGUGGCGAAGGCGGCUCACUGGUCCGGUACUGACGCUGAGGUGCGAAAGCGUGGGGAGCAAACAGG
rnacentral:rRNA from 1 species